AGUGACCUUGCAAAAGCUAUUGAAAUUCUCGUAAAGGAUUUGAAGGUCUUUUCUACCUUUAAUGGACAACUCUUUAAGGGAAAUCAACCAGCUGCUAACACUUGACAACUUUAGGUGCUUAUUUGAACAUUUGUAUGUAUUGGGAUAGCAAAUCAACGUUGCAAAAAUCCACAUCAAUUAAAACUCUUAUUUACUGAUCAGCAUGAGAAGCUUCAGUUGAUGCAGUGUUCAUUAUAUAUCAUGAAAUGUGAAAAGAGAUUGAAAUGGAACAUGCAAGAAAAAAAGAGUUGAGCUUAAAGCAAUGUUAAAGAUAUUGACGGCCACCAACGAAACUUGGUGCAGACACGAAGUAGGCUACGGAUGAAGAAAUAGAAAAGACAAGGAAGGAGAUGCCUUUUUUUUAACGGGCUGGGUGUUUCUUGGUUUAAAUGUAGUUUUUUUUAUGGAUAGUAAUAUAGUUUUGAAUAGAUUAAGUAAUGAUUGUUAUUUUACUCGUGUAAACUUUCGGGUUGAAUGUGUAUUGGGUCGAUUUGAGCUUGUUCGGAUUAUUAUGUUGAAUAUAUAUGAAUUGAUUGUUUGAAA